CCUACGGGAGACAGCAGUGGGGAAUAUUGCACAAUGGGGGAAACCCUGAUGCCGCGACGCCGCGUGAGUGAAGAAGUAAUUCGUUAUGUAAAGCUCUAUCAGCAGGGAAGAAAAUGACGGUACCUGAGUAAGAAGCCUCGGCUAACUACGUGCCAGCAGCCGCGGAAAUACGUAGGGGGCAAGCGUUAUCCGGAUUUACUGGGUGUAAAGGGAGCGUAGACGGCAGUGCAAGUCUGGAGUGAAAGUCGGGGGCUCAACCCCCAGACUGUUCUUGAAACUGUACGGCUGGAGUGCAGGUGAGGUAAGUGGAAUUCCUAGUGUAGCGGUGAAAUGCGUAGAUAUUAGGAGGAACACCAGUGGCGAAGGCGGCUUACUAGACUGUAACUGACGUUGAGGCUCGAAAGCGUGGGGAGCAAACAGGAUUAGAUACCCGAGUAGUC
rnacentral:rRNA from 1 species